rnacentral:rRNA from 1 species
AACGAACGCUGGCGGCAUGCCUAACACAUGCAAGUCGAACGAAGCCUUCGGGCUUAGUGGCGCACGGGUGCGUAACGCGUGGGAAUCUGCCCUUAGGUACGGAAUAACUCAUGGAAACGUGUGCUAAUACCGUAUGAUGUCUUCGGACCAAAGAUUUAUCGCCUAGGGAUGAGCCCGCGUUGGAUUAGCUAGUUGGUGAGGUAAAGGCUCACCAAGGCGACGAUCCAUAGCUGGUCUGAGAGGAUGAUCAGCCACACUGGGACUGAGACACGGCCCAGACUCCUACGGGAGGCAGCAGUGGGGAAUAUUGGACAAUGGGCGAAAGCCUGAUCCAGCAAUGCCGCGUGAGUGAAGAAGGCCUUCGGGCGUGUAAAGACUCUUUUACCCGGGUAACGGAUAAUGACUGUACCGGGAGAAUAAGACCCGGCCUAACUCCGUG